CCUUCCAGUGAGCAUACGAGCUUAAACGGACGCGGUAAAUCGUGCUAAGGUAGCUAAAUUAUGGCCCAUUAAUUGUGGGUCCUGUGAAUGGUUUGACGAGUCCUCGACUGUCUCAAGAUUACUUUGGUGAACUUGAAUUAAAUGUGCAAAUGCUUUUAUGGGUAAGAAAGACGAGAAGACCCCGUGAAGUUAGAAAUUCCUUGGUGACAACGUUAGUCUUCGAGGAUAUAUCUUGAAUAAGGUAAGUGGGGGAAUGUGAGAUGAUGAGUUUUGGCUGGGGCAGCAAAGAGGCAAAACUAGACCUUUUUUCUUAAGAAACGGGUGCGUGACGACCCACAGAAAUAUGAGGUGUGAUUAGCAGAAGGAGUUACUCCGGGGAUAACAGCGUAAUCGGCCCUGAUAGCUCUUAUAGAUGGGCGGGUUUGCGACCUCGAUGUUGGCUCUGGAUAUCCUGAGGCUUGCAGCUGGUCUCAAGGGUUGGUUCGUUCGCCCAUUAAAAUCCGACGUGAUCUGG
rnacentral:rRNA from 1 species